AGGGGAUUGGACGCUGCCGCAGCAGGGCUCAUCCGGCCCCACCGAGUCAUUAGUCACUCGCCCUCCUCAAUGUCACAGUCUCCCGCCUUCCCCCGAAGCACCCAGGCGCCUCCCUUCCCCCGCACCCGGGUGGGGUUCCCAGGCUCCUCCCCCGAGUUGUCUUGGAGUCCCCGCGCGCCCCCCACCGCUCGGUCCGCGGCUGCCAUGGCAACCGUACGCCGCCGCCACCGCCUCUUCACGCACGUCGGGAACUAACGGACUCCGCGGCGGCGGCUGCGGCGGCGGCGGCGGCGGCCUGUGCCCCACCCCCACCCGGACCGCAUCACCAACAGCCGGCCGACCUGCGGCACCUAGUUCUCUUCAAGAAGAUGAAUUUGGCUGAGAUUUGUGACAAUGCAAAGAAAGGAAGAGAAUUUGCACUUCUUGGAAACUAUGACUCAUCAAUGGUAUAUUACCAGGGGGUGAUACAGCAGAUUCAGAGACAUUGCCAAUCAGUCAGAGACCCGGCUGUCAAAGGCAAAUGGCAACAGGUUCGGCAGGAAUUACUGGAAGAAUAUGAACAAGUUAAAAGUAUUGUCAGCACUUUGGAAAGUUUUAAAAUUGACAAGCCCCCAGAUUUCCCUGUGUCCUGUCAAGAUGAGCCAUUUAGAGAUCCUGCUGUUUGGCCGCCCCCUGUACCUGCAGAACACAGAGCUCCACCUCAGAUAAGGCGUCCCAAUCGAGAAGUAAGACCUCUGAGGAAAGAAAUGCCCGGAGCGGGAGCCCGGGGACCUGUGGGCCGAGCACAUCCUAUAUCGAAGAGUGAAAAACCCUCCACCAGUAGAGACAAGGAUUAUAGAGCAAAAGGAAGAGAGGAUAAGGGAAGGAAGAAUAUGCAAGACGGUGCAAGUGAUGGUGAAAUUCCCAAAUUUGAUGGUGCGGGCUAUGAUAAGGAUCUGGUAGAAACUCUUGAGAGAGACAUCGUAUCCAGGAAUCCUAGCAUUCAUUGGGAUGACAUAGCAGAUUUGGAAGAAGCUAAGAAGUUGCUCAGGGAAGCUGUUGUUCUGCCAAUGUGGAUGCCUGACUUUUUCAAAGGGAUUAGAAGGCCGUGGAAGGGCGUGCUGAUGGUUGGACCCCCCGGCACUGGGAAGACUAUGCUAGCUAAAGCUGUUGCCACCGAAUGUGGCACAACAUUCUUCAAUGUUUCCUCUUCUACAUUGACAUCGAAAUAUAGAGGUGAAUCUGAGAAGUUAGUCCGUCUGUUGUUUGAAAUGGCUAGAUUUUAUGCACCCACCACAAUCUUCAUUGAUGAGAUAGAUUCCAUCUGCAGUCGAAGAGGAACCUCUGAUGAACAUGAGGCAAGUCGCAGAGUCAAGUCUGAACUACUCAUUCAGAUGGAUGGAGUUGGAGGAGCUUUAGAGAAUGAUGAUCCUUCCAAAAUGGUUAUGGUAUUGGCUGCUACUAAUUUCCCAUGGGACAUUGAUGAAGCUUUGAGAAGGAGAUUAGAAAAAAGGAUAUAUAUACCUCUCCCAACAGCAAAAGGAAGAACUGAGCUUCUGAAGAUCAAUCUUCGUGAGGUUGAACUGGAUCCUGACAUUCAGCUGGAAGAUAUAGCAGAAAAGAUUGAGGGCUAUUCUGGUGCUGAUAUAACUAAUGUUUGCAGGGAUGCCUCUUUAAUGGCAAUGAGACGGCGAAUCAAUGGCUUAGGUCCAGAAGAGAUCCGUGCACUUUCUAAAGAGGAACUUCAGAUGCCUGUUACCAAAGGAGACUUUGAAUUGGCUCUUAAGAAAAUUGCUAAGUCUGUCUCUGCUGCAGACUUGGAGAAGUAUGAAAAAUGGAUGGUUGAAUUUGGAUCUGCUUGAAUUUCUGUCAGCUCUUUCAUUUCUGGAGAGGAAACUGAGAUUUAUAAAGUGACUUGCUCUAGUCAUUUGGCCCCUAAGAAGCGGAGGAAGGAAUGGACCUAGGUCAGUUUAGCCCCACAACCUAUUUCUUUGCCAUAGUCCAAGAUUACUUUUAACAGUGUAAAUGCAAAAGUACUCAAUUCUUUUCUUUUUAAAAAAGUUGUAAUGUCUAUUUAUUCUUUGAGAGAGAGAGAGAGAGAGAAUGAGCAGGGGAGGGGCAGAGAGAGAGGGAGACACAGAAUCCAAGGCAGGCUCCAGGCUCCAAGCUGUCAGCACAGAGCCCGAUGUGGGAUUCAAACCCACAAACCGUGAGAUCAUGACCUGAGCUGAAGUCAGAUGCUCAACCGACUGAGCCACCCAGGCACCCCUAAAAGUACUCAAUUCUUGAAAUAAAUGUUACACUCACUCAUUUUUCUGAGGUUAGUAAUCACUGUUACCUUCUGUUUCCUAUGAUGCUUUUUUGCCAGGAGACUUUUAGGCUCUUGUGUUGUGGGAUUAAAGUGAUUUGGAGAAUGUCACUGUUAUUUGCUGUAGGUGUAUAUAAAUAUACACCUUCUUGAUUUUCAGGACAGGCUUUAUUAUACGAACCAGUCGUUCUAAGACGUUCCACAAAUUAUAUUUAGACCACCAACUUAAGCGACAUAAAGCUCCAUCGGUUAUUUUUAUUAAUAAGAUCCCUGACAGUGCUCUGCCCACUGGAUGACAGCUCCAGAGUCAUUAGCUGUGUGUAUGGUCACCGUCGGUUACCAGGAGAGCUGGCCCUGGGGUUGGGGUCUGUAUUUGAAGCACUACCCCGGAGCUGAGUUUACUUCUGAAUGUUCAGGAUGUUUCCAAUUAGCACAUCUUGAAUAGCUUCUUUAGACAAAUAACUAAUCAUGGUAUGACUACUGUAUUACAGAACAUAAAUCUUAAACUAUAGUGUUAGUAAUUAUUAUGUAAUUAGAGAUGAAUGAAUUAAGCCUCGUUUGCAAUUUGUAAAAUACCUCAAGUUAUUUUUCAAACAUUUUGAAACAUGUUUUGUAACAUUUCUCAAAUGUACUUUACCAGGCAUACUUCCUCUAAUUUUCAAGCCCUUGUGUAUUUUAAGGGAAAUUUAAUCCAUAUGUUUCUGAUUCAUUUACACUUAACUCAUCAAAGUUAUUUUUUAAGAACAAUUUGGUUUCCAAGCAGCCUUAGGAACCCUUGUCAUGAAUUCUGUCAGCCUUUAAAAGCCUUUUCCCCAAUCAAAACUUUUUUCCUCCAAAGAUAAAUGUGGAUGAAAUUUCGGUUUACAAUGCAGAGCCCGUAUUUCAAAAUCUAAGCUGGUUCUGAAUUUAGUGUAAUAAGUUGUUCUGCCUUUACUGAAAGAACUGGCUUAAUUUGUUUCUCUUCAAAGCAGGCCUCUGCAAAGAGUUUGUAAUAAAUAACAGUGUGCUUUCUUGAAAACACAGUGCACUGACGUUCUAUACUGCCUUCCCGAAUUCAUAGCACAGGUGACAAAUGUGGGUCGAUCAGACAUGGCAAACAAAAUGAACUGUUUUGGGGGGCCCGUCAUGUAACUGAUGAAUACGUGUACAUAUUCGAAUAUACACGCAUACAUUCAUAAAAUGCUUACAUUCUUAUAGAUUACCUUUUUUGUUUGUUUUUACCUGUACUUAAAAAUUCAAGCAAGACUUUGCUGUAUUCUGGAUUAAAUUAAUAACUGAUCGUGAAAUGACUGUAAUUGUUCUCAUGUCUCUUCAGAAAUGUUCCCCACCUGAGAUUUCGUUCACCGGGUUUGUGUGGCCCAGCAGUCGGGCUGUGAGCACAGCUUUUUGUGUAGUUUUAAUUCAACGGAGUGGGGUGAUUGUAUGAAAUCUUCUUCGGAAAAGUAAGGUCCUUGCAGUGAAGGUGGAAGGCUGACAGCUAAUUGGACAGAAUGUCAUACAGCAGAGUGACUCUGGAAAUGAUUUGCUGAAACACAGCACCAGAGGAAUGGAGGUUGUUCGAGGCAGCUAGAAGCCAUAUUCAGAAAUAUUCACAUUAAAAGAAAGGUACCAUUUUCUUGGGUUCUCAUCAGAGAAUUGCAUGAAACACAUAUUUGCUAAUUGCAAGAAAUCACCUCUUUAGUUCCUGUUUUUGGUGGAAACUAUCAUUUUCUCCCUGAAGUUUUUAAUGUGGGAUAAAAACAUCUUUUUCUGUACUUUUCAGGGCAUACCAAUUUCUUAUAUAUCUUGCCAGUUUGUGCUGUAAAUGAACUCUUAAUAUUUUAUGAAAAAGCAUUAUGAUAGAUGAAUUCCUUUUAAGAAUUAACACCUACUUUUUAAAAAUUCAAACGAAAAUGAGAAACCUCUUGCAUGAGGGGAUAUUUUUACCUUUUACCUUAUAUUUUUCUAUGUGAUAAUUACUUAGAAAGGAAAUAUGCUUACACAUAAAGCAAUAUGUAUAGAAAUCAAGUUGGUCAGUGCUUGUGUUUCUGUCUCCCAAAAGCCUUUGGCCUAGAAGUCAGUCAUGAUUCCAUCUCAUUUCAUACGACUCCUAGGACAGGACUGUGCGGGCCAUUGUCACUGGUGACCUGGGACAAUGUUCUGCAAAUUUCUUUGAUGAUGCCUCUCCAUCAAGAAGUGAUUUCAGAUUCUGGGUAGAAUCCCUGCCUGAAGGAACUUGACCUGCUAGAGAAAGCCCUGAAACAAACCAUCACAGAAUUCUAUGCACCGAUGACAGUAUGUGGCCGAGAAGUGGUGUGGAGGAGGAAAAGGACAAAGAAGGCUUCACAGAGGAGGUGAUGUCAGCCAUGUUUUGAAGCAUGAAGAGGAGUUCGGCAGGUGGCGAGGGAAGGAAUGCUAAUCCAGGUAGAGGCAAAACCGUCCUGAGGAACACUGACCCGAAGAAACACGUUCGCUGCAGGGUAAUGGCGAAGCUUGGAUUUGAAAUCAGCUGCUCAGCAGAAAAUCUAGAGCAAAAGAACCGGGUGUCUCGUCUAUGGACAUGGCCUGAAUAAACACAAAUCUCCUUGAUUUUUGUGUGGCUCCAAAUCACCUUCUUGUGAUUCCUGGUUGUUGACAAACUGCGUUGCCUGCUUUCUCUAGCGGGAUGGCGGCUGGCCCGGGCCACGGCGGGCCACGGCGGGCCACGGCGGGCCACAGAGGCACAAGCAACAGUGUUCCCCUCGGUGGUUUGAUUUUUACGUGCCGCGGGUGACGAGACAGCUCUGCGGCCCCAGUGUCUUCCCAGUGCUACGAAAUCCCCCCUUGUGUUUCCAGGUGCACGUGCGGUCCGUUAGUCCAUCUUGGAAUCGUCUACGGGACAGAACUUUGUUCCAAGCAUGAACCAAGCCUACUUCGUAAAUCAAAAGGCGCUCCUUAAUUCGCAGUUGUAUAUUAAAUUCGCACGUUUCAGAUUGAAAUUCGCACACAAUCUCUUUUGCAUUACUCACCCUUAAUAGUAAUUUCUUCUGGCUAUUGCCCUCAGGCUGUACAGGAAUGAAAAAAAUAGAUUUGAACUCUUUAUUUUGACGAUGUUCACAGAUUGUAAAUCUAAUUAGUUCUCUGACUUCCCCCCCCCCCCCCUCUUAAAGGAACACACAUUACCUUCUGAACAAAGUCUGCUAAGUCGGGACAGGUUUGCCUGAUAACCAUAUUCAUUUUCCCUAAAUUAUCUUAUCAGUUCAUUUGGAAAAUUCAUCUGUCUGUCUGCCCUAAUUUGCUGCAUCCGGUUGAUGUGUGCCCCUAAUAGAUAGGAUAUCCACCUGUGAGAUGGUGAGGAAAAUCCUGUCCAGGUUAGAUAAUGCUUUAAGAUUGACCUAUUUCAGAGUUGGAAGGGACCUUUCUUUCAGAUCACCGAAUGCAGUGUUUCUCAUCCUGGCCUAGAGGAUCUGUUUGUUCUUUGAGGAAUUUCUAAAUCCCGUGUUUUCAUUAGGUGAACAACCACAAGAAAAAUAAGCACAGACCUCUCUGAAUGGGGGACUGCCACGAGAUUUCAGGGGUUACGUGACUUGGCUCCGGGGAGAGGGUCAAGGCUUCCUGCGGGCCUAAGGGAAUUUAGAUACAUGGUGAAUUGAGGGCACAGCCAUGAUGGCAACGUCACGCCCACCCCCAAAUUCUUGCGGGAGGCAGCCGGUGUUACAUAUUUGAAUAGUUGUGUAUUUCUGGCGUCCAUGGUGGUAUCUAAAUUAUAAAGCUGCUGCAGCCAGGAGCAUCCAUUCUAAGAGCACAGGGUAGCCGAGCAGUCCUGGUCAUUCUUCGGGUAUUUAUCACACAUGGCCCAGUGUUGGGUGCUGGACGGGUCAGCUUUCUGUGGGUAAGACUGAGAUAACGAAGCCACCCCAACACUUUGGUGGCUCGUAAUAGCAAAGGUGUGUUUCUUAUUCCCAUAGAUAUGUCGCCGGCAGCUCUUUGGUUGCGAUCCUACAUCGUCUCAUUUGGAGAUCCGUGAUGCCUUCAGUAGACACCCCCCCCCCCCCGCCAUCCUCAUGACCUAGGGAAAAGAGCAAGAGGGCUCAGAAGCACUCAAAAACUCUUAAAAAUCAGAUGGCACAUAUAUCAUUUCUGCUGUGUUCAGUGGCCAAGCCAGGCCACGUGGACGAACCUGUUGUCCAUGAAACAGGGAAAUAUUAUUCUCUCUGCAAGGUGUCGCACGGCAAGGGUAGAGAUGUAUGAGCCUCUUCCAGGGAGGGGGUUGGACGACUGGGGACAACAAUCUACUGCAGGUGACCAUCCACCCACGCACCUCACAGCCCCUUGUCGUGCUGGGUGACGGGACUGCCCAGCUGGCUUCCUGUCUGUCUUUUGUUUUCAUUUUUUCUUCUUUGGAAGUUUUCGACCUGGGAAGCCAGACCGCUCUCGGGCCGAGUGGAUGUUUAGAGACCUUGCCUCGUGCCAUUAUUUUCCCCCGUAGAGGAACUGAGGUGAUGUGCCCAAGAUCACACAGCAAGACGCUUGGCUACGCUGCUUACUCUCUUCCCAACAUCCACUUGUGAAAGUGUUAGACAGGAAUUGUUGCUUUGCUAACUGUAAAAGAAAAACACCUCGAUUGUUCCUGAAAUCAUACCCCAUCUGAGAGACAGAGAAGUGAAACAGGACCCGAGUGGUCCAUCUCGGAAUGAAAACCGGCUCAGUUUUCUAUCCCAUUUUCUUUCCAGCCACCUUUGUGUGGGAGGCAACCUAUUUAAAUGUAUUAUAGAGCAUCAACAGAGCGCCAGGAGCUGUUCAGUGCUCUAGUAAAGUCCCAGUUCCUGCCAAGGCAGAUCGUGUCUCUGUUUUAUAAAUAGUCUGCGCCCGGUGCCGAUUUGAUUUAAAAUAAAACCUGCAGGUAGUACUCCGCAUGCUUCCUUCGGGUCCUUGUGUGUGGGGGGGGGGGGGGGGGGGGAGACACUAGGUGGGUGAGUCCAGGGCCGGAGACGGCAAACAGGGGGCGAGCUGGGCAGUGGCUUCUGGGGAGACCAAAGGGCUUAUUUGGUGAGAGGCUCACCAACGGCCUCUGGGCCCCAGUGAGCCUCUGACAUACAGCGAGUCUGCUUCCCUCCGGGGGAAGCUUGCAGGCAGGCCCCCUAGGGGUGCAGGACUGGACACAUCUUGGGCAACAGUUCUAACAUCUCUAAAACAGUUGGGAGUUGUCUGCCCUCGUCAGUGCCUUCGACAACACAGGUCACAAUCGCAGGGGAUGUCUUCAGCAAGGUUGGGGUGAAAUGGCACACAGGGUGGAAAGAACACACCCAGCUUCCGCCUUUCGCCCCGGGCAGCGAAAGAGAGGAGGAGGAAAGGACUCUUUGAAAAGGAGUUCAUUGAAAACUGCUUUGGCCUCUGGAGACUGGGGGCAAGAUGGAUCCGACGAGAUUUUGAAAAGGCCCAUUUCUGUUCUUUCUCUUCCUUUCACCUCCCAAAACAUUUUAUCGCUGUGAAUCAAGUGCCUGGUUCUCUGGGGUUUUCUAAAACCUCCUGUUUUGACAUCCCACUCAGCCUGCUCCACAUGGAGUCAAAACAAUCUCCCCAUUCACUGUGCCAGUCAGAGUACCCUUUCCCUAGGUGGUGGGUGUUAGGAAAGCAAUCUGACUAAAUUUUAUUAUGAUGCACUUGACAUUGUGAUGCUUUGUGUAUUCCACUUCUUCAGCUUGCUUUCCCCAAUUUUUCCUCUCUCUUUGGCUAUAAUUUUGAAUUCCCCCUACGUAUAAAAUACAUAUCCAUCAAGGUUCUAGAUAAUCAAUUAGGGCGAUUUUCAGAACCACUCGGGGGAGCUUUUAAAAAUACACAUGCCUACGCAUCCAGGAUCUUGAGAUCCUGAUUUUGUGGGCUUCGGAGUGAUCUAGGUGUCUGAAUUUUUAAAAAGCUUCCUGGAUGGGGUGCCUGGGUGGCUCAGUUUGUUAAGCGUCCCGCUUCAGCUCAGGUCAUGAGCUCAGGGUUCGCGAGUUCCAGCCCCGUGUCGGACUCUGUGCUGACAGCUCAGAGCCUGGAGCCUGCUUCCGAUUCUGUGUCUCCCUCUCUCUCUAUGCCCCUUUCCCGCUCACUCCCUGUCUCUCAAAAAUAAGCAAACAUUGAAAAAAAAAGUUUUUUUUAAGCUUCCCGGAUGAUUUUUAAUCGAAUCAUCUAAUUCUUUGCUUCCCUAGUAAAGAAUUCUUGCGUAGGAAAGCACUUUUCUCUUGUUGCUUGCCAUUCUUGGUGAGGGGGGGUGGGGCGGGGGGCGGGAACUAUCUUUCACCUUAUAUCUCAACAGCUCUUCUAGAAUCAGCUUUGAUUGAUUUUAGUUGAUUUUGAUUUUUAAAGUUCGUCAGUUUCUUUUAGAAGAACCCAACAGAUAUUCUUAGAGUCUAUUCUUCCUGCCCAGAUUCCCAGCUCGUAAAUUUGGCCACGUCCAGGGAUUGGAACACUUAACAGUGCUUGGAAUUGCUUGAUUUAAAGAAGGGCAGAACCCACUCUUACACAUGAUUUUAUUAGGUGGUCCUAAUUUCCUCCCCCUUAUCCCUUCUUCCUUUUCUUAGGACCUCUCUUUACCUACCUCUCACCUCCAAGGGUUUUUUUUUUUACUGUGUCAGAAAGUUUUUUCAAUUGUUGUGUCUUACCAUUCCCUUUUCAUGACCACUCAGCACAAUCAUGGCUGUGCGUCUCAUUAAAAUGUAUUAGGUUUGCUGUGUUGUUUUAUUUAAUGGUAACACUGAGCCCUGUUUGUAUGUUGCUCUGAUACCAUGCCUGUCUACUCAAAAAUUAAUAAAACAAAAUGGGACAGUUGUCUGGUAACAUUUCAUUUGUGUUUGACUGACAGUUUGGCAUCAUUGCAACAGAACCCAAGUGUAAACAACAGGCCUGAGUUCACCAGGCUGGCUAGAGCCAGAUAGUUGGGUAUUCUCAUCUUUCAUUUGGAAUUUUAAAGCCAUUGCAGUCUGUCCAACUUUCUACCAAGGUGGAGGUGCGUGUGCGUGGGCCUCUGUGGGGGGAAGAAGGAUCUUUGCUGAGACGUUUGGCAAGGUCUCUAAGUGAUGUCCUUGUGGACAAGGUAGAGAAAUGCAACCCGAAUGAUGGUUACCUGGGUUCUUGGCUAAUAGAACGGCCAUAUCAAAGGGCAUUAAUUAGUAGAUUUGUGCUGGGCUGGAAAGAAGGCUUAAUACCAGGCUACAGGACCUCGUACAUGGAGACCUCGGUCUCCAAGUAGUUUCGUAGAAGGUAAAGAUGCAGAUAUCAAACUUCUAGAUGGCCCAAAGCUGGGAGGGACAGAUUUAAUGUGAAGGUUAUUGAAACAACAUUUAAAAAGAGCUCAGCAGGUGGAAGGAAGAGCUAGAAUAAGCAAAAUGAAAUGUAAAGAAAUGAAAUGGGGCAGAAACAGAUACAAAAAGCCUGAGCAAUUGCUUGUUGCACAAGUUAGGGAGACCUAGUAUAAUAGUCCCUGCAUGACAAAGGCCUGUGCCCAUAUGUGUUACCUGAGGGCGUUCUGACUUCCCAGAAGUUUGUCACGAGGCCCCCACAGGACCUCCAGGCUCGUCAGUGGAUCUGGGAUCUCUUGAGGGUCUUGA